rnacentral:rRNA from 1 species
CCUACGGGAGGCAGCAGUGAGGAAUAUUGGUCAAUGGGCGCUAGCCUGAACCAGCCAAGUAGCGUGAAGGAUGACUGCCCUACGGGUUGUAAACUUCUUUUAUACGGGAAUAAAGUGCCUUACGUAUACUGCUUUGCAUGUACCUUAUGAAUAAGGACCGGCUAAUUCCGUGCCAGCAGCCGCGGUAAUACGGAGGGUCCGGGCGUUAUCCGGAUUUAUUGGGUUUAAAGGGAGCGUAGGCGGCUUGUUAAGCGUGCUGUGAAAUUUCGGGGCUCAACCGGGGCAUUGCAGCGCGAACUGGCGUGCUUGAGUCCGCGGAAGGCAGGCGGAAUUCGUGGUGUAGCGGUGAAAUGCUUAGAUAUGACGAAGAACCCCGAUUGCGAAGGCAGCUUGCUGAAGCGCAACUGACGCUGAUGCUCGAAAGCGUGGGUAUCGAACAGGAUUAGAUACCCGUGUAGUC